rnacentral:rRNA from 1 species
GAUGAACGCUAGCGGCAGGCUUAACACAUGCAAGUCGAGGGGUAGAAGGAGCUUGCUCCUUUGAGACCGGCGCACGGGUGCGUAACGCGUAUGCAAUCUACCUUUUGCAGAGGGAUAGCCCAGAGAAAUUUGGAUUAAUACCUCAUAGUAUGUGAGGAUGGCAUCAUUUUCACAUUAAAGUCACAACGGCAAAAGAUGAGCAUGCGUCCCAUUAGCUAGUUGGUAAGGUAACGGCUUACCAAGGCUACGAUGGGUAGGGGUUCUGAGAGGGAGAUCCCCCACACUGGUACUGAGACACGGACCAGACUCCUACGGGAGGCAGCAGUGAGGAAUAUUGGACAAUGGGCGCAAGCCUGAUCCAGCCAUGCCGCGUGCAGGAUGACGGUCCUAUGGAUUGUAAACUGCUUUUAUACAGGAAGAAACACUCCGACGUGUCGGAGCUUGACGGUACUGUAAGAAUAAGG